rnacentral:lncRNA from 1 species
AUCACCGUAAGGGAAGGAAAGAAAGGAGGCCCAAGUCACUGCAAGGUCCAGCGUCCCCGCUGAGUGACAGCGGGCACAUGGGCGGGACUUAAAAGAGCGGGACUUACAAAGGGCGGGACUUACAAAGGGCGGGACUUGCAAAGGGCGGGACUCCCAAAGUGCUUUGGUAGCUAGCGAGGGCUUUGAGACGGCCGAGAGUUUGAGCGCCAAGGCUCUCUCUCCCCAGGGGACUCUGCAACCUGACUAGGUGCUCCUUCCCUGAGCAUAGUAACAUUCCAGGGAGCUGCCCGGGGAAGCUUAACGCUCGAUGCGGCCAAAGAGAUGUCAUGAUUUUGAGGGGAGCUUUUUCUGCUAUGGAUAUGAGACCGUGCUUGGAAGAAAUGAUUUAUUGCAAAUUUACUAUGAUGGACAAUCUGUCUUUCAGGGUGGUAGGAAUGUAUCAUGGUGGGAGAGUCAUGGCAGCAGGCAGCUGGAACAGGACACUAAGUAAGAACACCUUCAACUACAAGCAGAAGUCAAGGAGAACUGAAAGUGACAACUGGAACCUUGAGAGCCAAGGGAGAUUGUGGAGAGGAUGUGAGCAGAUGGCCGCUGAGGAUAGCUGACCGGGUGGGUGGGCUGGAACCUAGGCCAGGACCUGCCACCUGAGGAUUGUGCCUGCGAUGUCCAUAUGAUUGUGAACAGCUAAACAGGGAGCUCUGCUCUGUUGAAAAUCAUAAAGUUGAAAAUGAAAAGAGAUAAAACCUUAAGCACAGAAGAAUAUUUUGUCUUUGGUGAAAAGAACAACUUAAGAUUAAUUUUAUUUUUAUGCUGUAUAUGCGUGUGGGUAUGUGCAUGCAAAUUUGGGUGACUCCAAAGGUCAGAGCAUCAAAUCACUUGGAGCUGGGAUUAUAGGCAAAUGAAAGCUGCCAAGCAUAGGAAUCUAACGAAUGUCCUCUGUAUGAGCAGAGAGUACUCCUUACUGCAGAGCCAUGUUUCCAGCUUAAGGAGGGCUUUUAGAAAGAAGAUUGAUAGAGAAUACAUACUUAAUAGUUUGAUGUACUAAAAAGGUUAAUUUUUAUUCACUAUAGACACUAGAAAUAAUAUUUACAAUUUAUAUAAUGCAUGUGAUUAUAGAACUAGAAGUAACAAUAUUAAAUAUAAAUAAAUUAUUGUAAGUCAGAUAAGAGAGAUGGAAACCCCAGUAGGAAAAACCCAUUAAAGUAACUAAAAUGUGGACAAAUGAA